ACACACCAAGGGCCCUAUAGUUUUCAUUGUAUAUUUGGUGGUUGCCUGCAGUAUGAUGUGAAGUAAGAGAAAGAAAGAAAAAAAAACCGCCCCUAAAUAUAUAUAUAUAUAUAUAUAUAUUAUACUUUACAUAUGUAAAUAUAUAUACAUAUGUAUAUCGAUUUAUAGAUAUACAUAUAUAUAAGUGUGUAUAUAUAUAUUAUAUAUAUAAUAUAUAUAUAUAUAUAUAUAUAUAAAGCUCAGGAAAUAAUAAUAAUUUACAGAAACCACCACAAACCCCAUAAUCUUUAAAAAAAAGAAAUCCUUAAAAUCCCAAAGGCUGUAGAAAUGGCUAACUACCCUCCACUCGAUUGCAGCCCCGUGCUGGCUUCUCCCUCCAAAAGUUUGGCUUCAAAUGCAAUGGCAUAUAUGUCGACCACCCCCAAACGUAGUGGAUUCUUGGGUCAAAGUGGGCCCGACGAAAGGAUUACGCUUAACGUUGGAGGCGUCCGUCAUGAAACACACGUAUCCACAUUAAAGAACUGUCCCCAAACUCGUCUAAGUAAACUUGCGGACAUACAUAAGCAAACGCACCAAAAGGAGGAAUAUUUUUUUGAUCGCCAUCCAGCGGUAUUUAAUUCAGUUAUCGAUUUUUAUCGAACAGGUAAGAAAUUCACCCCAUUUUGCAUUGUUUACUUAACUCCUGUUACUAUUAGUGUGUGGUUGAUAAGGAGCGGUAAGUAUAUUAACA
rnacentral:misc_RNA from 1 species